UGGAGCGACGAACCGGGGCUUGCCCCGGGGCAGAGCCGCGAACGGGUGAGUAACACGUGGGUUACCUGCCCUGAUGACCGGGACAACCCGUCGAAAGACGGGCUAAUACCGGAUGUGCCCGCAAGGGGAAAGGAGGCGUAAGCUUCCGCAUCGGGAUGGGCCCGCGGAGCAUUAGCUUGUUGGUGAGGUAAAAGCUCACCAAGGCUUCGAUGCUUAGCUGGUCUGAGAGGACGAUCAGCCACACUGGGACUGAGACACGGCCCAGACUCCUACGGGAGGCAGCAGUGGGGAAUCUUGCGCAAUGCACGAAAGUGUGACGCAGCAACGCCGCGUGCGGGAAGACGGCCUUCGGGUUGUAAACCGCUUUCAGUUGGGACGAAGGUUCUGCGGUUAAUACCCGUACGGACUGACGGUACCUUCAGAAGAAGCCCCGGCUAACUACGUGCCAGCAGCCGCG
rnacentral:rRNA from 1 species